GAUGAACGCUGGCGGCGUGCCUAAUACAUGCAAGUCGAGCGAACGGACGAGAAGCUUGCUUCUCUGAUGUUAGCGGCGGACGGGUGAGUAACACGUGGAUACCCUACCUAUAAGACUGGGAUAACUUCGGGAAACCGGAGCUAAUACCGGAUAAUAUUUUGAACCGCAUGGUUCAAAAGUGAAAGACGGUCUUGCUGUCACUUAUAGAUGGAUCCGCGCUGCAUUAGCUAGUUGGUAAGGUAACGGCUUACCAAGGCAACGAUGCAUAGCCGACCUGUGAGGGGGAUAGCCCACAUGGGAGGGGAGACACGGUCCAGACGCCUACGGGAGGCAGCAGUAGGGAAUCUGCCGCAAUGGGCGAAAGCAUGACGGAGCAACGGCGCGUGAGUGAUGAAGGUCUUCGGAGCGUAAAACUCUGUUAUUAGGGAAGAACAGAUGUGUAAGGAACUGUGCACAUCGUGACGGUACCUAAUCAGAAAGCCACGGCUAACUACGUG
rnacentral:rRNA from 1 species